UUAAUCCCCUUGAUUCAAUCCCCCGAUUGAACCAAGUAAAUACAGUGUGUAAAAGAAAACAGAAAACAGCUUCUCAAAAAGCAGAUAAAAACAAUAUGAACAAUAAAUGAAGUUAAGAAGCCUCAAAUGCUUUUAGAUCGGAGAUGAGGAAUGGCUUCUUGAACUUCUGGUCUCCUCUUGAAAGUGUGGUCGACUUGAAUGCAGGAGGAGGAAGCUUUUAAUGUUGAGAAGAUGUAGUUGGAUGCAGUUAUUGCAGAUCUUCUCUCUUUUUCGUUGAAGAACAAGUUGCAGAGUUGAAAGCUUGAAUGCUUGGAGUGGAAUGGUUG
rnacentral:lncRNA from 1 species